CGAAGAGCUGGAAUAGAGCUCGCCUCGGCUCUGCUGGCCUUGGCUGCAGCUCUUCCAGAAACCCAGGGCGCCCACAGAAGAAUCUCUUACCUGGCUCUCUCUUCAGGGAUGACAUCAUCGGCUCACACCAGUCUUCCAGGACCACCUUCCAGAUGCCAAGGCUGCUGCUCGAGUACCUGCUGUGCAUCUCUACCUCCUGAGCCAAGGAGCAUGGAUUCCAGGAACCCACUACCAUUCAGAGCAACUCCUCGUGGACCCCCUCCCCCCCCCGAUCAGGACAGCGAGGGACAAGAGACAAAGAGGAUCAUCAGUGGCCAGCUAGUCUCUCUGGGGUUCAAACCUUGAACCAGUGCCCUAGUGAGGGGGCACUGGCCAUGACCCUUGACCUUUGCUCUGCUUGUGUCUUGAGUCUGAGUCCUUUCCUGUACAUCUGUGCUUGUGUUCAUCUGCUAGUGAACUGGAGUGCUGCCCUCCCCGAGGGGGGUCGUCCCUUGUGACUGACCAUGCUGUCCUAACAAUGGCCUGAGCAAAAGGGUCCCAUUGGGAACCUCUCAGGAGGGGGACCCGGGUCAGGGGCGACCAGCAUCUUGCUGGCAACUCCGUGGGUGGGGUGGGGCGGGGUGCUUCCUUCUGGAAUGAGCACGUGGCUGACCCCAAAGGCAUGUCCCCUCCCCCUCCUCCACCCACCUUCUCAGAGAUGUCCCUUUUGGGGUAGUGGGGACAUUAGGAGCAACCUCCUAGGGUUGUUGUGAGAAUUAAAUGAACUGCAGCAGCCUGAGGCAGGGCUGGGCAGAGACCUCAGCACAUGUUUGUUGAAAGGUUUGCAGGUGGAUCUAGCCCUCCCGUUCAUGGCUCAUGUGUCUCAACCAUUCUCCCACAGACUCCUGCAGCCCCUAUGCCCAGGGCUCUCCUUGCGCCAGAGGUAGGUGGGAAAGAGAACUGGGAGAGCCCGGACUCACUCAUGAGAUUGAACUUAAAUUCACACUGAGGACACUUGGACUCUUGCCACAUUGGCCCGGCUUCUCGAGGCCUGUCUACACUCGCUGCUUUCCUUCCUCACCUCCAAUUUCCCCUCCAACCCACUGCUUCCUGACUCGCUCUUCUCCAUCGAACGGCUCUCGCUCAGGCCUGUCGCGUCUUCCUGUGCCAUUUGCCGUUGUACUCAGGUUCCACGAGCUGCCCAUCUCCACAGAAGAGCAGCUGGCAUUGCCCUCCGGCCAUGCUGGCUGAAGAAAAGAAGACUGAGGACCCCAGGACGUCCAGCGCGAGGACCCCAGGAAGCUCAGCGCGAGGACCCCAGGAAGCUCAGCGCGAGGACCCCACCCACAAUGCCCAGCGCGAGGACCUCACGCACAACACGUUGCAACCCUUCUGGAUUAGGCCAAAGCCAUCAUCUGGAAUCCUGCGUGGGACCCUGGACACACGGACACAGACACCUGCCCCUGGGACCCUCCAACUGUAAAUUGAUUGGAAGCGCCCUUGUGAGCUGGGGCCUUCAAAGGGCUGAGGAGAAAAUGCAGGCCGAGAGACCAGCUUCUCAAAUAGGCUUCAAGCCUCCAUGACCUGAGCUCACCCCCUGGAAAUGUCUGGAAAACAUAAUGGGCAGGUUUUCUGUCUUCAAAGUUUCCAUCAAAACCUCUUCAAGUUCUUUAUUGUUUAGGACUGAGACACUUGGGGACAGUAAUGGGGACUUUCUUUUGUAUCUGUCUUGAAAGGCCAAAAUAUUUUUAUAUUGCUGUAGACAAAGCCACCUAUUUACAAAUGGACUCUGUUCCGUCGUUUCCCACCAGGAAGACCGUACUAUGUUUGUGUCUCUAUGUAUUCUGGGGUCUUGAAACAGGUUUCUCAUGGGGAUGGCCAUUCACUAGAGCCCAGAGGAGCAGAAGGGGAAGUGUCUACCCUGCCAAGGGGGUCUGGGGAAGGAGGGGGGCUAGUCUCAGAUUUGCUCCUUGUAUGUCUAGGGUAAACCCUGGGAGAAGCUGGUGGUAAAAGAACAUAUGCUGUGUUUGCCCCA
rnacentral:lncRNA from 1 species